rnacentral:rRNA from 1 species
CCUACGGGAGGCAGCAGUGAGGAAUAUUGGUCAAUUGGCGAGAGCCUGAACCAGCCAAGUCGCGUGAGGGAGUACUGCCCUAUGGGUUGUAAACCUCUUUUGUCGGGGAGCAAAAGCCGGACGUGUCCGGCUGUGAGAGUACCCGAAGAAAAAGCAUCGGCUAACUCCGUGCCAGCAGCCGCGGUAAUACGGAGGAUGCGAGCGUUAUCCGGAUUUAUUGGGUUUAAAGGGUGCGCAGGCGGAUUUUUAAGUCAGCGGUAAAAUCGUGGGGCUCAACCCCAUCCAGCCGUUGAAACUGGGGAUCUAGAGUGUGCGAGAGGUAUGCGGAAUGCGUGGUGUAGCGGUGAAAUGCAUAGAUAUCACGCAGAACCCCGAUUGCGAAGGCAGCAUACCGGUGCACAACUGACGCUCAGGCACGAAAGCGUGGGUAUCGAACAGGAUUAGAUACCCCUGUAGUC